rnacentral:rRNA from 1 species
CCCUUAGAUGUUCUGGGCCGCACGCGCGCUACACUGAAGGCAUCAGCGUGUCCUUCCCUCCCCGAGAGGGGCGGGUAACCCGCUGAACCGCUUUCGUGGUAGGGAUCGGGGCUUGCAAUUAUUCCCCGUGAACCAGGAAUUCCCAGUAAGCGCGAGUCAUAAGCUCGCGUUGAUUACGUCCCUGCCCUUUGUACACACCGCCCGUCGCUACUACCGAUUGAAUGCUCAGGUGAGCCAUUCGGACUUUCAUCAUGCUGGUUUCCAGUUUUGAUGAAGGAAAGUCUUGCGAACCUUAUCAUUUAGAGGAAGGAGAAGUCGUAACA